AUUACCUGGUAGUGAGUUAGAAAUGCAGAGCCCCGGGCUUCUCAGCAAACCUACUGGAUCUGCAUUUUAAUUCACAUGCAUGGUAAU
rfam:Macaca mulatta chromosome 7, whole genome shotgun sequence.